GUUGUUAUUGAUAUUAAGAUUUGAUAUCUUUUGAAUGUCCUUUUGCAUCUAGUUAUUGAUGUAGUUUUAUCUUACUUAUUGUUAAGUGCAUUCAUGGUCUUAGAAGUUUUAAGACACCUUAGAAUGAUGUUUUAAAACACUAGUCUUAUGUUUUUUUUAUUGAGUUACAUCAUUGGUGUACUAAUAUUAUGCUUUUAUGUACUAAAUUUCUUAAGAUGUCUUCUUAUAGUAAUAAGAGAGUAUUUCUGAGGUUAGAAGUAUUUUUGUGAGAAUUGAGAAUGAUUAAAGUGUAAAAUCACUAGUUUACUCAAAAAUAAGGCAAUCUAUUUUGUCUUAUCUUAAUUCUCUUUAAUACACCUCUUCUUUAGACAUAGCUUCAAAUGAAGGUGAAGCCUUGAAAAUUAUUAAGAAAUUUAGAAGAAACAAUUUUUACCAUUGGAAGAAGAAAAUAAAUCUAUUAUUGACUUUAUAGAAUCUUUAGGAUAUUUUUAAUGAAAAUAAAGAACAUCUAAAUAAUAAAGUUGAUGUCGAC
rnacentral:lncRNA from 1 species